ACCAUCAGCAAAGGUAGCCAGCAGCCACAACUGACAUUCUGCUUACUCUCUCUUUCUAGCAGAUGCCCUCCUCAUUAACACACCCAGGGCUUCUGUGGCUCCGUGUGCACUGCAAACCAUUAGCUUGCUCUAGUGUCUCUGUCUUUCCUCUGCUGUUUUCUCCAUCCCAACUGAAAGCUAUUCUAUGAUUUCUGGCAUCUCUAUUAAGUAGUGAGUCGCAUGGAAAUGAUUAACUUUUGAACUGCAAAACUGAAAACACUCUCUUGCAGACUGUGGAAAUGAAACAUGUCAUGCAGCAAACGGUUUCCCGUGAUGGAGUUUGCAGCAAGAAAGAGAAAUCAUUGGCUGAGAUUUCGGUUUUGUUGUUGUCAUUGUAGAUCAAAAGGAUGUGAUCAUCCUUUCUGAUAGCUUUUUUUCUCCCCUUGGUAAACAGUCUCUGAGUGAGUUCAUUAAAUAUUUAAACAGCCCUGGUAUCUAUUAAUGUUAUCAGACACAUGAAAUAUGUCUGAUGGAUUUAUUCUGCCGUUAAGGAGCCAUACCCCAGUGUCCCUCCUGGGACAGUGCUCCAGCUGUUUAAACCAUAAUUCCAUCACUAGGAGGCAUGGUGAAAGCACUGACCUCUUUGAAACGGACUCAUUGCUACUCAGCCUGUAAAUUGCAAAUGAAACCUUUCUGUAAUAAUGUUAAAAUAUGCAUGCAUAGGAAUUAAGGCACUUGGGUCAUCAGCAAAGCCUGGUGCGUUUUCUGUAACCUCUAAACAGCUGGUAGAAAGAAUCCAAUAAGUCAAUUCCUUGAGAAGAUUAGCAAUUAGGGGGUGUAUGAGUCUUUUUGGGUUCAAUAGCUCUCCCAUCAUAUAUUGGGGAAAUUUAAUUAAUUCUCUGAAGCUUUUAAGUUUUUUAAAUUCCAUUACUGUUUAUUUGAUCCUGUUUCUCAAAGGAGAUAAAUUAUGUUGAUACUGUGGUCCUUACUUAUUCUCCAUAUAAUCAAUCUAAUAUGAGAUCAUGCAUGAGGUCCUUCAAACUGUGUGCUAAUUUGUUGUCUCAUUUUUACCUGCUUCAUGCUUAUGAGAAAACAACCAUGACAAAUAUGAUAAAGGAUGUCUCGCCAAGUCUUCCACAUGAAGGAAAGAGAUACUGUUGUUCACUUCUGAGAAGUCAUGGCUGAUAUGCCUGGAGAAGCUGUCCUUGCCAGCCCAGAAGUAGAUGAUGCUCGUUCCACUGUAUGAGAAAACUCUGGAAAAGAGAAUGAUAAUUAAAAUUCUUUCUGCUCAGAUGAGGAAAAACAUAAGCAAGCAGACAAACAAAAGCCAAUCAAGCAUACCUUGAAGACACUGUGGGUACAUUUUCAGACCACAACUAUAAAGUGAAUAUCACAAUAAAGUUCUAAAAUAUCUGCUGGCCAGGAGUAAUGGCUCAUACCUGCAAUCCCAACACUUCGGGAGGCCAAGGUGGGAGGAUCGCUUGAGCUCAGAAGUUUGA